GCGUGCUCGUUUGGGUGGGGCGUCGGCUAAGAGUGCUCGGAGCGUGGAUUAACUCCAGUCUCCAAUCAGGUGUGUAUUUCUCACUACUCUAGUUGUAGGAUGGCAACUUCGGGCCGCGAUGGGCCGAAAGGGGCCAUGUAGGCCCAAUGGGCCUACGAGCCCAAUUGGAUAAGUUGUUUGAUUGUGUAGUAAAUAUUGGACUAGGCUAGGUGAAUCUCAUAUUUGUGGCUAGAUUUGGGCUAAAAGGGCCACACGAGCGUGUGGGCCCAUUUGGACCGAGAAUAGGCUUUAGGCUCAUUCGUAUUGUUAUCCCUGUUAAGAAUACUUUAGUUUACCAAAUUACUGAAAUGCCCUCAAAUUGUAAAAUUACCAAAGUACCCUCGAUUUAUAGAAUUACCAUUUUACCCUCGAUUUAUAGAAUUACCAUUUUACCCCCGAUUUACAGAAUUACCAUUUUACCCUCAAUUUAUAUAAUUACCGUUUUACCCUCGAUUUAUAGAAUUACCGUUUUACCCUCGAUUUAUAGAAUUAUCGUUUUACCCUCGAUUUACAAAAUUAUUAAAAUACCCUUGGUUUACAAAAUUACCAAAAUACCCUUGAUCAGUAAAAUUACCAAGAUACCCCUGGUUUGUAAAAUUACUAAAAUACCAUUGGUUUGUAAAAUUACCAAAAUACCCCUAACUUGUAAAAUUACCAAAAUACCCUUGAUUUGUGAAAUUAUCGAAAUACUCUCAAUUUGUAGAAUUAUCGAAAUACCCUUGUAAGGUAAAUUUACCGAAAUACCCUCAAUUUGUAAAAUUAACAAAAUACCCCUAGUUUGUAAAAUUACCAAAAUACCACUGGUUUGUGAAAUUAUCGAAAUACCCUCAAUUUGUAAAAUUACGAAAAUACCCCUGAUUUACAAAGUUACAGAAAUACCUUUGACUUUUUAAAAAUUAUGGAAAUACCAUUGGUUUACAAAAUUACUGAAAUACCCUUGGUUUGUAGAUUUACCAAAACACCCUUCUAGGAUGAAAUGACUAAAAUACCCCUAUUAGGUAUAAAGACCGUAAAGCCCCUGUAGGGUAAAGAGACCGUAAAGCCCCUGUAGGGUAAAGUGACCGUAAUACCCUUGUAUGGUAAAAUGAUGAAUAUGCCCUUAUGUUCCGUAUGACUGAUGUGCUUAGGAUUUACAUAUAUUGAUAUUGGAUUAGUUAAGUUUGAGUGACAGGUGGUGGUUAUCGUAGGCAAUUGAUUUUGGAAACGUUUCAACUUCAACCCGUAACAGGUGUGUACUAACCCUCGUAGUAGCUUAGAUUAAUAUUUGCUGAGAAGCCGAAAUGGUAAAAUAUCGGUAUUUUGGGAACUCGUAAUGUUGCGUUUGGGUAUAGAUGCGAUAAAUACGAUAAGAUCGGUGUUUGGAUCGAUGGAACAGGUAA
rnacentral:lncRNA from 1 species